AAUUAUGUUUUGUUUGGGGUUACCUAGAAGAGGGCUACCCAGUGCUUGAUAAGGUUCAAAGGGAACCGAGAAGAGUCCGGAGUGAAAGCUAUCCAGAGUGAAGCCGUCCACUCAUCCGGUGCCGGCCUAGCGGAGGGGGCUACCUGGUGC